rnacentral:rRNA from 1 species
CAAGGAAUUUUCGGCAAUGGGCGCAAGCCUGACCGAGCAACGCCGCGUGGUGGAUGACGGCCUUCGGGUUGUAAACACCUUUUGGGGGGAUGACAACGACCGUACCCCCCGAACAAGCCCCGGCUAACUCUGUGCCAGCAGCCGCGGUAAGACAGAGGGGGCAAGCGUUGUCCGGAGUUACUGGGCGUAAAGCGCACGCAGGCGGCCGCGCAAGUGAGGUGUGAAAGCGGGCGGCUCAACCGCCCGAGGCCAUCUCAGACUGCCUGGCUCGAGCCGUUCAGAGGUCCCUCGAAUUGCCGGUGUAGUGGUGAAAUGCGUAGAGAUCGGCAGGAAGACCCACGGGGAAGCCAGGGGACUGGGGACGAGCUGACGCUCAGGUGCGAGAGCGUGGGGAGCGAACCGGAUUAGAUACCCGGGUAGUCCACGCCGUAAACGAUGAUGACUAGACCUGGGGCGGUUCAACCCCGCUGUGGGUCGCAGCUCACGCGUAAGUCAUCCG